UUUAAUGGCCGCAGUAAUUUGACUGUGCAAAGGUAGCAUAAUCAAUAGUUUUUUAAUUAAAAGCUUGUAUGAAUGGUUGGACGAGAUAAAGGCUGUCUUUAAGUAAUUAUAUUAGAAUUUAAUUUUUUAGUUAAAAAGCUAAAAUAAAUGUAAAAGACGAGAAGACCCUAUAGAGUUUUAUAUUUUUAUUAAAAUAUUAAUUAUGGAUUUAUUUAUUAUUUUUUAAUUAAAAAUAUUAUAUUGGGGUAAUAUAAAGAUUUAAGUAAUUCUUUUUAUUUUUUAUUAUUUAUUUAUAUUUAUUUGAUCUGAUAUUAUUGAUUAUAAGAAUAAGUUACCUUAGGGAUAACAGCGUAAUUUUUUUUGAGAGUUCAUAUUGAUAAAAUAGUUUGCGACCUCGAUGUUGGAUUAAAGAUUAAUUUAGGUGCAAAAGUUUAAAUUUUUGGUCUGUUCGACCAUUAAAUCUUUACAUGAUCUGAGUUCAGACCGGUUUAAGCCAGGUCGGUUUCUAUCUUUAUAAAAUUAUUAUAUUUUAGUACGAAAGGACCAAGUAUAAGCUAUAAUUAGUUAUUAAUUUGAAUAGUAAU
rnacentral:rRNA from 1 species